rnacentral:tRNA from 1 species
GGCACCGUGGAUUCCUGGUAUGACGCCCGGCAGUAAUAGAGCAGAGGACUGAAAAUCCUCGUGUCACCGGUUCGAGCCCGGUCGGUGGCA